UGGUAUGUACUAGCCUGCCGAUUCCUCCUUCUUGUAGAACGUAAUGCCAUUAAUUUGGUGUUGCGGGGAAACAGGACUGUUACUUUGAAAAAAUUAGAGUGUUUAAAGCAGGCUAGCGCCUGAAUACAUUAGCAUGGAAUAAUGAAAUAGGACGUUCGAACCUAUUUUGUUGGUUUCUAGGAUUGACGUAAUGAUUAAUAGGGAUAGUUGGGGGCAUUAGUAUUCAAUUGUCAGAGGUGAAAUUCUUGGAUUUAUUGAAGACUGACUACUGCGAAAGCAUUUGCCAAGGAUGUUUUCAUUAAUCAAGAACGAAAGUUAGGGGAUCGAAGACGAUCAGAUACCGUCGUAGUCUUAACCAUAAACUAUGCCGACUAGGGAUCGGAAUGAUGUUA
rnacentral:rRNA from 1 species